rnacentral:SRP_RNA from 1 species
CCGGGCAGCCGGGGUGUUAGCGGUACCCUGUACCAGCAACCCGCUAUAGCUGGGGUGAUAUCCUGCCUCGGGUUUUUGAUUGUGAAGCUGCCCUCCAUAAGUGGCGAUGACGCUUGGGUCUUGCGCAACAGGAAUUUAUGAACCGGGUCAGGUCAGGGAUGGAGCAGCCCUAAGUAAACACUCUUGUGUGCCGCAAGGGUGCCUGGGCUGAGUUAACUGUGGAGGUAACGUUUGGGGUCAGGAUUCAAAGCAGGAUGCCCGG